CCGGGCACUCUAGAGAGACUGCCAGCAUAAGCUGGAGGAAAGUGGGGAUGACGUCAAGUCAGCAUGGGCCUUACGUCCAGGGCUACACACGUGCUACAAUGGCCGGUACAAAGGGCAGCCAACCCGCGAGGGGGAGCGAAUCUCAAAAAACCGGUCUCAGUUCGGAUUGUAGGCUGCAACUCGCCUACAUGAAGUCGGAAUCACUAGUAACCGCAGAUCAGCUACGCUGCGGUGAAUACGUUCCCGGGCCUUGUACACACCGCCCGUCACGUUAUGAAAGUUUGUUGUACCCGAAGUCGCUGGGCUAACCGCAAGGAGGCAGGCGCCGAAGGUAUGAUAGAUGAUUGGAACGAAGUCGUAACAAGGUAACC
rnacentral:rRNA from 1 species